GCAGUGUUCCAGUAUCUUUCCAUGCGGUUGGUCUACAAGGCUCUUCUCUGUUUUCUUUACAUUUUUGUGCCACGGAAAGGCUUUGCCUUUUUACAAGAAAUAAGAAAGAAGAGGAAAGAACAUAACAGUAAAACUUUCAACUUUACUCCUGCGUCUGCCCUUUUCUGACUUCUGUUAACUAUCUGUCAGUGUUGCGUAGAUGGAACGCGCAUCUAGGACAGAAUAG